ACCCCCGUAGCUCAGCGGACAGAGCACAUGACUACGAAUCAUGGGGUCGCAGGUUCGAUCCCUGCCGGGGGUG
rnacentral:tRNA from 1 species